UAAGGAAUAUUGGACAAUGCCCGCAAGGGUGAUCCAGCCAUGCCGCGUGCAGGAAGACGGCCCUAUGGGUUGUAAACUGCUUUUACACCGGAGAAAACCCCACUACGUGUAGUGGGCUGAUAGUAUGGUGAGAAUAAGCAUCGGCUAACUUCGUGCCAGCAGCCGCGGUAAGACGAAGGAUGCAAGCGUUAUCCGGAUUCAUUGGGUUUAAAGGGAGCGUAGGCGGCCUGAUAAGUCAGCGGUGAAAUCUCUGGGCUUAACCCAGAAAUUGCCAUUGAUACUGUUGGGCUUGAGUACAGUUGCUGUGGGCGGAAUAUGACAUGUAGUGGUGAAAUACAUAGAGAUGUCAUAGAACACCGAUUGCGAAGGCAGCUCACAAAACUGUAACUGACGCUGAGGCUCGAAAGUGCGGGGAUCAAACAG
rnacentral:rRNA from 1 species